UGGCGGUUCAUCUAACGGUAGGAUAGUGCCCUUUGGAGGCGCUUAUCGGGGUUCGAAUCCCUGACCGCCAGCCA
rnacentral:tRNA from 1 species